GACAGAGGGUGCAAACGUUGUUCGGAAUUACUGGGCGUAAAGCGCGUGUAGGCUGCUUCGCAAGUCGGAUGUGAAAGCCCUGGGUUCAACCCAGGAAGUGCAUUCGAAACUGCAGAGCUGGAGUCCUGGAGAGGAAGGCGGAAUUCUCGGUGUAGAGGUGAAAUUCGUAGAUAUCGAGAGGAACACCGGUGGCGAAGGCGGCCUUCUGGACAGUGACUGACGCUGAGACGCGAAAGCGUGGGGAGCAAACAGG
rnacentral:rRNA from 1 species